rnacentral:rRNA from 1 species
CAGCCGCCGCGGUAAUACCGGCGGCCCGAGUGGCGGCCACUAUUAUUGGGCUUAAAGCGUCCGUAGCCGGGUUGGUUAGUCUCCCGGGAAAUCUGGCCGCUUAACGGUCAGAAUUCCGGGAGAUACUGCCAGCCUAGGGACCGGGAGAGGCCGAGGGUAUUCCCGGAGUAGGGGUGAAAUCCUAUAAUCCCGGGAGGACCACCUGUGGCGAAGGCGCUCGGCUGGAACGGGUCCGACGGUGAGGGACGAAGGCCAGGGUAGCAAACCGGAUUAGAUACCCGGGUAGUCCCGGCGGUAAACGAUGCGGGCUAGCUGUUGGGUGGGCUUAGAGCCCACCCAGUGGCGCAGGGAAGCCGUUAAGCCCGCCGCCUGGGGAGUACGGCCGCAAGGCUGAAACUUGAAGGAAUUGGCGGG